rnacentral:rRNA from 1 species
UGGCUCAGGACGAACGCUGGCGGCGUGCCUAAUACAUGCAAGUCGAGCGCAGGAAACUGACGGAACUCUUCGGAGGGAAGGCAGUGGAAUGAGCGGCGGACGGGUGAGUAACACGUAAGGAACCUGCCUCAAGGAUUGGGAUAACUCCGAGAAAUCGGAGCUAAUACCGGAUAGUUCAACGGACCGCAUGGUCCGCUGAUGAAAGGCGCUUCGGCGUCACCUUGAGAUGGCCUUGCGGUGCAUUAGCUAGUUGGUGGGGUAACGGCCCACCAAGGCGACGAUGCAUAGCCGACCUGAGAGGGUGAUCGGCCACACUGGGACUGAGACACGGCCCAGACUCCUACGGGAGGCAGCAGUAGGGAAUCUUCCACAAUGGACGAAAGUCUGAUGGAGCAACGCCGCGUGAGUGAUGAAGGUUUUCGGAUCGUAAAACUCUGUUGUAAGGGAAGAACACGUACGAGAGGUAAUGCUCGUACCUUGACGGUACCUUACGAGAAAGCCACGGCUAACUACGUGCCAGCAGCCGCGGUAAU